GCGGAGGAAAAGAAACCAACAGGGAUUGCCCCAGUAACGGCGAGUGAAGCGGCAACAGCUCAAAUUUGAAAUCUGGCCCUCGGGUCCGAGUUGUAAUUUGUAGAGGAUGCUUUUGGCGCGGUGCCUUCCGAGUUCCCUGGAACGGGACGCCUUAGAGGGUGAGAGCCCCGUACGGUUGGACACCAAGCCUCUGUAAAGCUCCUUCGACGAGUCGAGUAGUUUGGGAAUGCUGCUCUAAAUGGGAGGUAAAUUUCUUCUAAAGCUAAAUAUUGGCCAGAGACCGAUAGCGCACAAGUAGAGUGAUCGAAAGAUGAAAAGCACUUUGAAAAGAGGGUUAAACAGCACGUGAAAUUGUUGAAAGGGAAGCGUUUGCGACCAGACCUCGCCCCGGCGGAUCAUCCGGCGUUCUCGCCGGUGCACUCCGCCGGGCUGAGGCCAGCAUCGGUUUCCGCGGGGGGACAAAAGCGGGGGGAACGUAGCUCCCUCGGGAGUGUUAUAGCCCUCCGCAUAAUACCCUCGCGGGGACCGAGGACCGCGCUUCGGCAAGGAUGCUGGCGUAAUGGUCGUCAACGACCCGUCUUGAAACACGGACCAAGGAGUCGAACAUUUGUGCGAGUGUUUGGGUGUCAAACCCUCACGCGUAAUGAAGGUGAACGUAGGUGAGAGCCUUCACGGGCGCAUCAUCGACCGAUCCUGAUGUCUUCGGAUGGAUUUGAGUAAGAGCAUAACUGUUCGGACCCGAAAGAUGGUGAACUAUGCGUGGAUAGGGUGAAGCCAGAGGAAACUCUGGUGGAGGCUCGCAGCGGUUCUGACGUGCAAAUCGAUCGUCAAAUCUGCGCAUGGGGGCGAAAGACUUAUCGAACCAUCUAGUAGCUG
rnacentral:rRNA from 1 species